UAGUUGUCGUCUUAUCAAAAAUGUGGAGCAUUCACAGUAUUCAAUUGUAAAUUGUACAGUAAACAUCAAGUGAUUUUUGUCCGCUGUUUCAUGUUUUUGGGGUACUAGUCUUUCUUAAGAUAAACAACACAAAUCGACUUUCUUGCUUAUUGAAAUUGGAGAACUUCCGCAAGUUCUUGUAAAUUCAAUAAUCCAUUACUGAGUCGAUUGUCUUUUGUAUACAUUCAGUACCUGUGAAGAAGAUUAACAAAAUGUGCUAUCCUUGCUAUUUGGGUUGCGGAUCGUGCUGUUCGUCAUGCUGCAGCCCCUGCUGUUCCCCAUGCUACUCGUGUUGCUCACCUUGCUGUAGCCCUUGUGGAAGUUGCUGCGGGAGUUGCUAUGGCUGUGGUUGUGGGCCAUGCUGUUAACAUCUUCGGAAAGAUAUUAAGGUUCUAGUUAGUUAUAUAAGAAAGACUGGACUCCUAC